rnacentral:lncRNA from 1 species
UGAAGAUAAAAUAAAAUUCUGCAAAGAAUCUGAGAGUUUUUAAUGUCCUCUUGGCUUAAAAUGAGUUGGAAUUGUUUGGUGGUAAUUUUUCUUUCUUUUAUCCUUAAACAUAUUAAAGAGAAAAAUGAAAAUAACUUAUUUUGAAUAUCUAAAUGCUCCUUUUACAAAAGGGGACGCUUUAGAACGCUUGUCUAGAAAAAGAAGUGAGCUGAAACAUUGUGCUAAUGGGAUUUGCAGCAUAAAAUAUGGCUAAUUUCUCUUGUAUGACUACAGGUGGCAGUGUAGAAGCCAAGAACAAAAAUUGGCAGAAAUUGUGUUCUGUGUACGAGAAUAUGAAGAGUGUACUCAUGACUAAGCACAGGAACCUGGAAAACCACAGACCUGUGCACCUGGAGGACCUACAGGGACAAGCACAAAGUCCUGUCCCUGGGGAGGAACAGUGCCAGACACCAGCCAGGGAUGGCCAGCUGGAAAGCAGCUCCUCAGAAAAGACCCAGGGGCGUGGAGCAGAAGCCAACAAUGUGCCCUUGCCUUGAAAAGGACCAAUUGCAUCCUGGGCUAUGUUAGGAGGACUGGAUUCAGCAGCUGAAGGAAGGGGAUCCCUGGGUGACCCUAAGGUGAUCCUUCCUCUCUACUCAGCCCUGAUGAGAGCACAUCUGGAGUGCUGGGUCGUGUUUUGGACUCUGCAGCAAAAGAGAGACAGAGCUACUAGAGACUUGCCUUCAGGUGAAGUGACACAAAAAUGGUGAAGGGUCUGGAACAUCCCACCUGUGAGCAAAGGCUGGGAGAGCUGGGACUGUUCUUCCUGGAGAAAAGAAGGCUCUGAGGGAGGAGCAUAAAUGUGUUCAAGUGCCUGAAGGGCCAAAGCAGACAGAGCCAGGCUCUUCUCAGUGCUGCACAGGGACAGGAACAGAGACAGUGGCCCCAAACUGAAGCACAGGAGGCUCCAUCUGGAUGUCAGGAAUCACUUUCUCACUGUGAGGGUGACGGAGUGCUGGCACAGGUUGUCCAGAGAGGUUGUAGAGCCUCUGUCCCUGGAGGUGUUCGAAAGCUCUCUGAAGGUGGUCCUGGGCAAUGGUCUGCAGGUGCCCCUGUUUGAGCUUGGGACCUGGACCAGGUGAGCUCCAGAGGUUUGUUCCAACCUAAACUAUUUUGUGAUCUUGUAGAUGUGCUAACAUGCCUCCUCUGAGGUAUUUCUUUACAACAGAGAAGGUGGAAAUUUCCUUCACUACUCUUGCAUCUGCAUCUGUUUAUUUAGCCCUCAAAAUAUCUUCUAAAAUUUGUUUUUUUAAUUUAUAAAAUUAUUUUAUAUUAAUGUCUAAAAACUGUUUUUUGUUUUAGAAGGCUUAGGUAAUAGUUCUGUUCCUCUGUAGCACUGAAAGGUCUGUGAGUAGUUCAGUGCACAGCCUACACAACUCCAGUGUUUGCUGACACAAGUAAACAACAGUGUUGCAAACACCACUGCUCUCUGGAACAUAAAUUCACCCACUGGGGGCAAAACAACUAUCAAAACCCUCUAAACAUAUCCAAGCUCCUAGAUAUAAAUUUGUGUACAUUAUCUGACCACACUUCUGGUGCACUGGGAUCAGAUGGGUCAUUCUUGGAUAGCUGAAUACUUCUUUCACCUCUGAGUUCUUAUUAUUUUUUCUUUUGCACUUGAUUGUCACCUUGUCUUUACACUGAUAUAUGUAAUUCCAGCCACUCUUGCUUGCAGCCAUAAGGUGGUUUUGAGACAGUUGUACAUAGUGAACAAUGUACCAAUCUGAUUGUUACUACUCUACAAGUCUCUCCUGUCUCUUCCCAUCUCCUCUCCCUCUUGUCCAAGUAGCAAAAUGCUGAUUAAGUUCCUUUCACUUGGAAAUUUUGCUCUGAUUACAGACAUGACAGCUUUUUGUUUCCUUUCCUUUUCUUUUUCUUUUUUUUUCCUUCACCUGCUUCCAGGUAGAAGUACUGGUGAUCUUUCUCACUGUUAUUUUGAAGUGAUUUAUUUGAUGCUAUUUAUUCUCAGGAACACUUGUGUUUAGGUAGUGACUCAGUAGUCUGGAUGCCCUGGUGGAGGUUGCUGGUUUGGUGGACACACUCAUACUGGUUUAUGUCAGCACAGAAUUUCUCCUGUAAUGUUGACUCAAGAUAAAUAUUUUAAAGGAUAUAAACUUGAACUGUUCAUAGCAUUUCUUUCUUUAACUGUUUCCUUUUGGAUUUUUUUUGGUGCAAUUUUAAAUAAGAGAACUUGUUCCAUCUUUGGAAGAGUUAUCAUAAGUAUUUUCUGGGUUUUCCUCCUCUUUCUUCCUGCCACAAUUUAUCAAACCAUUAAUUGUCAUUUGUACUGAAGUAGUCUAUCAGUUAAAAUAAACCUGCUUGCUGUGAGCUGGGCUAUAUUAAU